UACAGAGGUCCCGAGCGUUGUUCGGAUUCAUUGGGCGUAAAGGGUGCGUAGGCGGUCUUCUAAGUUUGAUGUGAAAUCCCGGGGCUCAACCCUGGAAUUGCAUUGAAUACUGGAGGACUAGAGUACCGGAGAGGAAACUGGAAUUUACGGUGUAGCAGUGAAAUGCGUAGAGAUCGUAAGGAAGACCAGUGGCGAAGGCGAGUUUCUGGACGGUAACUGACGCUGAGGAGCGAAAGCUAGGGGAGCAAACGGG
rnacentral:rRNA from 1 species